CCUACGGGUGGCAGCAGUGAGGAAUAUUGGUCAAUGGGCGGGAGCCUGAACCAGCCAAGCCGCGUGAGGGAAGAAGGUACUGCGUAUCGUAAACCUCUUUUGUCAGGGAACAAAGGCGGGGACUAGUCCCCGGAUGAGGGUACCUGAAGAAAAAGCAUCGGCUACCUCCGUGCCAGCAGCCGCGGUAAUACGGGGGAUGCGGGCGUUGUCCGGAGUUAUUGGAGUUAAAGGGAGGGCGGGCGGACUGUUAGGUCAGCGGGAAAAGCCCGGGGCGAAACCCCGGCGAGCCGUUGAAACUGGGGGACUGGAGUGGGAGAGAGGUACGCGGAAUGCGCGGUGUAGGGGUGAAAUGCGUAGAUAUCGCGCAGAACCCCGGUGGCGAAGGCAGCGUACCGGCUCCUCACUAACGCUGAGGCACGAAAGCGUGGGUAUCGAACAGGAUUAGAUACCCGAGUAGUC
rnacentral:rRNA from 1 species